CUCAAAAAAAAAAAUGAACCAGUGAGUGGAUUAUGUCCUAAGUCAGCGAAGGGAAAGUUGGAUCGACUUUCUCUUACCUUUCUCUCUCUUCUUGGCUGGAUAAGUUCUUGCAGCAAGGCCAUGGCUGAUUUACGGUAGGCGUAAGAAUGUGUACCACCAUGGUCCUCGUAAUUUGGCCGUUCCCUUCUGGAUUCGGCGGCGCAUGAGCCGGCGGGGACAAAUCGGAGAAGCAAUCGGCUGUAGUCUUUGCUUGGCCUGUCUAGGGACUUGACGCAGCGGAGCACAUAAGGCAAAUGGAGCAAGGCCAAGGUGGUUCUUCUUUCUUCAGAAGACUGUGCGUAGGUGGAGGCAGCAGGUGUGGAAUAAGCGGUAGGGAGCGAUUGCUUGUCUUUCCUGCCGUUAUUCGCCAAGGGAUGAAUGGCUCGGAGGUGUUGCCUGUGAGGAGCUGCCUUCUGGGUGGUGGUCAAUUGGCAUAAUCGUCUUAUCAGCUAUUGCAGAGCUGAUUUGGGUAGAAGGUUCCACCACUUGCACUGAGUCAGUCAGUAGCUGCGCCUUUGAGACGGUAAGGAACACUACUCCAGGAUUAGCAUCAUAGGUUUCCUGGUCGACUUCCCAAGUGAUUGUGCACUUCUUGCCUACCGCGGCAAUAAUGGCAGGAGGGACAUAAUUAGGAUGACCUUAAGUGAGUGGCGCAAGAAGAUCUACUUCCUUGCCCGCUAGAGCCUCGGCGCAGUUGCCAAAGAAUGUGAAGCGGCCGGUGACGGUGCUCGCCUGAUGUAUGGCAGGUAGGGCAUCUGCGAGAAGUUCCGUACUGAACCACCUGUAGUGCUCGCCUGAUGUAUGGCAGGAAACAGAAAGAAGAUAGAUAACAAAUGUUGGUGUGGAAGAUGUACCAAAUGAUCAACAAACAUGAAACCAAUCUCAUAGAGGUGGUUGUCUCUAUUCCGGUUCUCCCCUGACCGGGCAAUGCGUACAACAACACGCCUCGGAGAUCCUCGAGAGGUAGGGCAAACUGAAGGGAAGAUAAAAGAGGAAGAGGAAAUUACCAGCAACAGCGACGUCUGGAACCUCAACAGGACGCUUGCCUAAACUUAUCUCCCGCCUCCAAGAUUGUAUGUCAUCUAACAUUGAAGGAGAGGCAAGAGAUCGGCGGAAAGAAAUAUCCGUAGAAGACCCAGUAUGGUGUGGAUCCAUAGGAAAACCAAAAGGUGGACAGCAGGUAUAUCAGGCCCGGGAAGACGGACAGCAGAACCGGUAAGAGUAACAGCAACAUCGGAAGGAGUAUCCUCGGAACGGCGUCGGUGCCGUGCACAUGGAGAAGCAGAAAGGGAGAACGACCGGCCGCGGCGACGACCUGAUCCCCGGCCUACACCUCCUCCAGGCAGUUGUAUGGCCGACAAAGAAGCAACAUAAGGUAAAGCAGGAGAUCUAGAACCAGAACAUGGCCGAUCGGACGCAGCAGCACCAACUGAACCAACAGCUGAGGCAGGAAGAGCAGCAGAGGAGUCCCGCCGAUGGCCGCGAGAAUCUCGGCCGCCCCGGCUUGCCGGCCGAGGAAGCAGCUGAUCCAGGCCGCGGCGGAAACGCGGCGCCGAAGGCACAGGCAAAGGAAGUGGAGGCAAAGCCGGCGACGCGUAUGAUGGAUGCACCGGCGAAGACGGCGGGGUAUGGCUGACAGCAGGCGAGCUGCUAAGAUGAUGAAGACGCGGCUAAGAGUUUAGCCGGCGUAAAGGCGGCGGUGCAGGAACCGGGCGACCUCCCCCACGACCUGCAGCAGCAUCCAUGACCAAGCAGAUUCCUGAAACAAAAUAAAUCGAGUAAGACAUGACAAAGCGGGAGGCCAAACGGAGAAGAACCAGAAGGAAACGCUGAGAUCAAAACCUGGAAAGGAAAUCCAGCGACGGAAGAAAAGGGGGAGGAAAGAAAGAGCAGCGGUCUCUCCGCUGCAGAUAGGUAGUCGUAUGAACCGAGGAGAAGACGCAUGAGGAAAUUAGGUCCAGGAAGAAGGAAAGAAAAAAGAAAAGACACGCAAGAAGGCACGUGGCGGAGAAGUGAAAACGGAAACUCCCGUAAUCCAUGCACAGCCGGUGGAGGCCGAUUAAACCGGAGAUGGAAGGUAACCGACGCCAAAUAAACAGGGAGCAACCGGCCCACAUGUGCAAAGUCUACCGGCUAUUUUCCGUGGAUCAGCAAUUUUAGGAAGGGAAAAAAAGAGAAAGAAAGAAAGAAAUUCCCGCACGUCUCCCUUACAUCCAGAUUGAAGUGGGAAAAAGUAAUCGUGGCAAAACCCGAUUGGAUAAAACGGGACACCAACAGUACCCAAACUAAUCUCAUUGCUGCAAAACGGUUCAAACAGCUACCAUGAACAGUACCCAAACUUAUGAGAAUUCAGCAAAGUGGUUCAGCUUUGAUAUAGUUUACUAGGAAGAUGCGGCGCGGCGUCACGCCGUGCCCGUGAGGGGACAACACAUAUGUAUAAUCGGUUAAUAGUACUGUUGGAGAUUACAUGAUGCGUACAAUAGUAUUAUUGUCUAAAUUUACAGCAGAAGAGAGCAGGACAUUAAUAGUAUUUUUUUCGAAAUAAAAAAGGUGGUGGAUAGUAGAGUUAUUGUGAAAGAACAAAAAAUAGAAAAAUAAAUUGUAUUACUGAUUAGUCA